GAACGCUGGCGGCGUGCCUAACACAUGCAAGUCGAACGGGGUUAAGGGAAAUUUCGGAUGGACUAACUUAGUGGCGGACGGGUGGAGUAACGCGUGGAUAACCUGCCUCACACUGGGGGAUAGCAGCUGGAAACGGCUGGUAAUACCGCAUAAGACCACGAUGCCGCAUGGCACCGGGGUAAAAGAUUUAUCGGUGUGAGAUGGAUCCGCGUCUGAUUAGCCAGUUGGCGGGGUAACGGCCCACCAAAGCGACGAUCAGUAGCCGGCCUGAGAGGGUGAACGGCCACAUUGGGACUGAGACACGGCCCAAACUCCUACGGGAGGCAGCAGUGGGGAAUAUUGCACAAUGGGCGCAAGCCUGAUGCAGCAACGCCCGCGUGAGUGAAGAAGUAUUUCGGUAUGUAAAGCUCUAUCGGCAGGGAAGAAAGGCCCGAAAGGGAGAUGACGGUACCUGACUAAGAAGCCCCGGCUAACUACGUGCCAGCAGCGGC
rnacentral:rRNA from 1 species